UUGACCUCAAAUCGGGUAGGACUACCCGCUGAACUUAAGCAUAUCAAUAAGCGGAGGAA
rnacentral:rRNA from 1 species